ensembl:lncRNA
UACUUUUUUUCAUUGAAUGUCCCGGUUUCUGGAUUUGUCUGAUAGUUUUCUCAUGAUUAACUUCGGAUUAAAUAUAUAGGACAAGAAUACAAAAUCAAUAAUGUUGUAUACUUUCAAUGGUAGCAAUGAUUUCCAGUAUAUCAAAAUUAUCCACAUGAAGUGGUGGAUACAAAAUGCCACUGUUCCUUUCCAAAAUGUAAUAUAAUCAUUAUAGUCACUGGUCAGGUACUAAAUUGGGUGCUGUACAUAUAUUAUUUGCAUUCUCGGGCUGGGCGCGGUGGCUCAAGCCUGUAAUCCCAGCACUUUGGGAGGCCGAGGCGGGUGGAUCACGAGGUCAAGAGAUCGAGACCAUCCUGGUCAACAUGGUGAAACCCCGUCUCUACUAAAAAUACAAAAAAUUAGCUGGACAUGGUGGUGCGUGCCUGUAAUCACAGCUACUCAGGAGGCUGAGGCAGGAGAAUUGCCUGAACCCAGGAGGCGGAGGUUGCGGUGAGCCGAGAUUGUGCCAUUGCACUCCAGCCUGGGAAACAAGAGCAAAACUCCGUCUCAAAAAAAAAAAAAAAAAGAAUUAUUUGCAUUCUCAAAACAAUCCAGUAAGGCAUUAUGGAUACAAUUUUACAUACAAAUCCAGUGUUAGAGGUAACUGCUGCCCGACACCCAUUUUUUUCUUGUUUAGUAGCAUAAUUCUGAUUGCACUGGUAACUGACAAUGUACCUAGUUAAAAUCCUAAAUCUCUACCCUCUCUCAUAUAGUUAGAAGAGGCCAUGUGAUCACAUUCUGUUCACUGAGAUGUCAGUGAAGUAUUGCUGGAGAUUUCUGGGAAGUCUUUUAAAGGAACUUAGCUGGGCUUCUGACUGUCUCCUUUUGAUUCUUCCUGCCUCCUGCACCAUGGAAGUGGUACCUCCAGCUCCAGGAGCCAUAUUGGACCUUGAGGAUCAUAGCUCACUGUAGCCUCAAAGUCCUGGCAGCCCCAAGUGAUCAUCCUGGACUGUGGGCUCCCACCCGGCUCAACUCUUCUUGUCUAUCUUUCUAAACACGAAGCGAUGGGUAAGCUGCUACUUUGUAUUGUUAAAACACAUUUGCCAAGGGUUUCUUAGUGAAAACCUUGUGAUUCUUAGGUUCAGCUGUAAAUCAAGUUUGAGUCGAAGAACUUGGGGCCCAUAACCUGACAGAUUCAAAACCAUUACCACACAUUUAUUUAAAAUAACUUUAUUUUUUUGCCAUUUCUGUGACUUCUGUGAUUUCUGCCACAUAUAUCUAUAUCCUAUCUAUCUCUCUGUGUAUCUGUACUUUUCUCUUUCAUAUCUUUCACUUUUUAUACUGCUUGCCCGAAAUUACUCCACAUUAUCUUUACCUGGGCUGACCCCAUCAUUCCAACAAGGGACUGGGGCUUGGUGGUGUGAGAGAUUUGCAGCCUCGCAGUCUUUCUAAUUUGGCUUCCGGCUGAGGUGGGUUUUGUUUGCCUGAGUUUAUUUUUCUUUCUACCUUCUGUUUAUAACAAGCAAUACCGUCAAGCCACGUAUGGUGAUGGUAAGAAUAUAAGCUUUCUGUUUAAAAUGAGCCACCGAAAAGAAAAAAUAAAGGAUACCGUAUUUACAUUCAAAAACAGU